AAACAUUGAGCUGUGAUGCCGAAGCCGAAUGGCGAAGUCAACUGACGUCACGCUUCCAAGAAAAGCUUCUAGGGUUAAUUUAAUAAGUGCCCGUACCGAUAACCGACACAGGUAGGCGAGGAGAGAAUCCUAAGAUGAGCGAGAGAACUCUUGUUAAGGAACUCGGCAAAAUGACCCCGUAACUUCGGGAGAAGGGGUGCUUGUGAAAGCAAGCCGCAGUGAAUAGGCCCAGGCGACUGUUUAUCAAAAACACAGGUCUCUGCUAAACCGCAAGGUGAUGUAUAGGGGCUGACGCCUGCCCGGUGCUGGAAGGUUAAGAGGAGAGGUUAGCGCAAGCGAAGCUUUGAAUUGAAGCCCCAGUGAACGGCGGCCGUAACAAUAACGGUCCUAAGGUAGCGAAAUUCCUUGUCGGGUAAGUUCCGACCCGCACGAAAGGCGUAACGAUCUGGGCGCUGUCUCAACAAGAGACUCGGUGAAAUCAUAGUACCUGUGAAGAUGCAGGUUACCCGCGACAGGACGGAAAGACCCCGUGGAGCUUUACUGUAGCUUGAUAUUGAGCACUGGUGGCACAUGUACAGGAUAGGUAGGAGACGAAGAAACCAGGACGCCAGUCUUGGUGGAGUCGCUGUUGGGAUACUACCCUUGUGUCACUGGGGUUCUAACCCGUGGCCCUUAUCGGGUCAGGGAACAGUGUCAGGUGGGCAGUUUGACUGGGGCGGUCGCCUCCCAAAGAGUAACGGAGGCGCCCAAAGGUUCCCUCAGAAUGGUUGGAAAUCAUUCGAAGAGUGUAAAGGCAUAAGGGAGCUUGACUGCGAGACCUACAAGUCGAGCAGGGACGAAAGUCGGGCUUAGUGAUCCGGCGGUACCGAAUGGAAGGGCCGUCGCUCAACGGAUAAAAGCUACCCCGGGGAUAACAGGCUGAUCUCCCCCAAGAGUUCACAUCGACGGGGAGGUUUGGCACCUCGAUGUCGGCUCAUCGCAUCCUGGGGCUGUAGUCGGUCCCAAGGGUUGGGCUGUUCGCCCAUUAAAGCGGUACGCGGGCUGGGUUCAGAACGUCGUGAGACAGUUCGGUCCCUAUCCGUCGUGGGCGUAGGAAAUUUGAGAGGAGCUGUCCUUAGUACGAGAGGACCGGGAUGGACACACCGCUGGUGUACCAGUUGUUCUGCUAGGAGCAUAGCUGGGUAGCUACGUGUGGACGGGAUAAACGCUGAAAGCAUCUAAGCGUGAAGCCCCCCUCAAGAUGAGAUUUCCCAUUCGAAAGAAGUAAGAUCCCUUGAAGACGACGAGGUUGAUAGGUCAGGAGUGGAAGUGUGGUGACACAUGGAGCGGACUGAUACUAAUCGAUCGAGGACUUAAC
rnacentral:rRNA from 1 species